AAAAAAAAUAUAUACAAAUCAACAUGAACUUAAAACAUAACUUAAUUCAUUUUACCUAAUUCACUUUGUUUCAAAUACUAAAUAGGACAGGUAGUAUGUGGCCUAUUCUAAAAUCAUGUAUCAAUAAUCAUUAUAAAAUUAUUUUCGAAAUGAUAAAUACAAAAAAUUACUUCCAAAUUGCUUUUACUGUUCAAUAAAUACUGUACAUGAAAUAUCUACAGAAACAAUUCUUACAGGCUCAAAGUUUACAAUUCAUACAUUUGAAUUUCGAAGUUCCUAAAAGUUUUCGGACCCUUAAAUUAUUUUUGAAGAAUGUAAACUUAUAGUAAAAUAGGUUGGCAACGCUGCCAUGAGAUAACAGAUAACAUCGUGAUCAUCUUCAUUUAGACAUGGUCAAUGGUGUAGUUGCCUGUAGUCUGUAUUUUCGAUUUUAAUAAAAAAAUUUGAUCGAAUAUUUGCCCAACGGCUCAACUCUCGUACGACCCGCAAACAGAAUGUUCGGAAGACCAGCCCAAGCCGUCCAGCCAAAACCUCGCACAGCCAUGGAAAAGGUCAAGAUGAUUUACCAGGACGAGAAUGUAUGGAACAUCGUGAAGAGCAUAGCUUUUUUCGCCAUCGCUGUCAAGUUCACCAGAGAAUUUCACGGCGUUGAGCUCAUACACUAAUGUCUGAUACCGUAUGAGAAUCUUCCCCAUCAUAUAGUUGUACCCUCCCCUUUACCGAUGUACAUACUAACUAAUUAAAUAUAUUUAAAUGUACUACUUGAUAAUAUAAUGAUUAUAAGUCUUAUUGAAAAAAAAUCUUUGUUUUAUGUUAUCAUGAAAUUCAUAAUAUAAUAUUGUGCAAGGUUUAGUAACCUUGUGUAACCACUCAAA